GCAGCCGCCGCGGUAACACGUAGGUCCCGAGCGUUGUCCGGAUUUAUUGGGCGUAAAGCGAGCGCAGGCGGUUAGAUAAGUCUGAAGUUAAAGGCUGUGGCUUAACCAUAGUACGCUUUGGAAACUGUUUAACUUGAGUGCAAGAGGGGAGAGUGGAAUUCCAUGUGUAGCGGUGAAAUGCGUAGAUAUAUGGAGGAACACCGGUGGCGAAAGCGGCUCUCUGGCUUGUAACUGACGCUGAGGCUCGAAAGCGUGGGGAGCAAACAGGAUUAGAUACCCGGGUAGUCCCUGUCUCUUAUACA
rnacentral:rRNA from 1 species